rnacentral:lncRNA from 1 species
UGGACCAUUCUCUGGGGCUUACAAAGAAGAGGUUGAAGCCUGAAAAUAAGAAUACUCAGAGCUAUGUGGAGUCCCUGCAGAAGAUUUAUCAAAUGGGAAGUUGGAAGGGUACCACACGAGUGCAGUUGCUGCCAGGAAUCUUCCAGUGGCUAGGACGUAUUGUGGACUGUGGUUUUUAUGGCUGUGGACUGACAAUACAGUUAAACAGAUAUCAGUGUGGAGGAGAAGGAAUUUGCCAGUCAUGCAGACAUGACAGUUGAUCACAGCUACUGUAUGUGUGCUCCUGUCCCACAGAAAGUGAGGCUUGGGGCAGGUACAACAGGUACAAAUGAAAUAGCUGCUGAAUUAUCACAGAUGUCUUCUGGUGUGAUGUGUACAUUGUACAAGCCAUAUUCUACAUAUACAAUUGGUCAAAUGCUGUGA